rnacentral:rRNA from 1 species
AGGUGCUAAUACCGUAUAACAAUCGAAACCGCAUGGUUUUGAUUUGAAAGGCGCUUUCGGGUGUCGCUGAUGGAUGGACCCGCGGUGCAUUAGCUAGUUGGUGAGGUAACGGCUCACCAAGGCGACGAUGCAUAGCCGACCUGAGAGGGUGAUCGGCCACAUUGGGACUGAGACACGGCCCAAACUCCUACGGGAGGCAGCAGUAGGGAAUCUUCGGCAAUGGACGAAAGUCUGACCGAGCAACGCCGCGUGAGUGAAGAAGGUUUUCGGAUCGUAAAACUCUGUUGUUAGAGAAGAACAAGGAUGAGAGUAACUGUUCAUCCCUUGACGGUAUCUAACCAGAAAGCCACGGCUAACUACGUGCCAGCAGCCGCGGUAAUACGUAGGUGGCAAGCGUUGUCCGGAUUUAUUGGGCGUAAAGCGAGCGCAGGCGGUUUCUUAAGUCUGAUGUGAAAGCCCCCGGCUCAACCGGGGAGGGUCAUUGGAAACUGGGAGACUUGAGUGCAGAAGAGGAGAGUGGAAUUCCAUGUGUAGCGGUGAAAUGCGUAGAUAUAUGGAGGAACACCAGUGGCGAGGCGGCUCUCUGGUCUGUAACUGACGCUGAGGCUCGAAAGCGUGGGGAGCAAACAGGAUUAGAUACCCUGGUAGUCCACGCCGUAAACGAUGAGUGCUAAGUGUUGGAGGGUUUCCGCCCUUCAGUGCUGCAGCUAACGCAUUAAGCACUCCGCCUGGGGAGUACGACCGCAAGGUUGAAACUCAAAGGAAUUGACGGGGGCCCGCACAAGCGGUGGAGCAUGUGGUUUAAUUCGAAGCAACGCGAAGAACCUUACCAGGUCUUGACAUCCUUUGACCACUCUAGAGAUAGAGCUUCCCCUUCGGGGGCAAAGUGACAGGUGGUGCAUGGUUGUCGUCAGCUCGUGUCGUGAGAUGUUGGGUUAAGUCCCGCAACGAGCGCAACCCUUAUUGUUAGUUGCCAUCAUUUAGUUGGGCACUCUAGCAAGACUGCCGGUGACAAACCGGAGGAAGGUGGGGAUGACGUCAAAUCAUCAUGCCCCUUAUGACCUGGGCUACACACGUGCUACAAUGGGAAGUACAACGAGUCGCAAAGUCGCGAGGCUAAGCUAAUCUCUUAAAGCUUCUCUCAGUUCGGAUUGUAGGCUGCAACUCGCCUACAUGAAGCCGGAAUCGCUAGUAAUCGCGGAUCAGCACGCCGCGGUGAAUACGUUCCCGGGCCUUGUACACACCGCCCGUCAACCACGAGAGUUUGUAACACCCGAAGUCGGUGAGGUAACCUUUUGGAG